rfam:Schistosoma rodhaini strain Burundi genome assembly, scaffold: SROB_scaffold0003086
AUCCAGCUGACGAGUCUCAAAUGAAACGAAACACGCGUCCUGGAU